UAGGGAAUCUUCGGCAAUGGACGGAAGUCUGACCGAGCAACGCCGCGUGAGUGAAGAAGGUCUUCGGAUCGUAAAACUCUGUUGGUAGAGAAGAACGUUGGUGAGAGUGGAAAGCUCAUCAAGUGACGGUAACUACCCAGAAAGGGACGGCUAACUACGUGCCAC
rnacentral:rRNA from 1 species